GUUUUUGCAUUCUUACUCCCUUUUAUAUGCUUAUGUGUUUAAUUUGUGUAGCUUAGUUUAGUUAGUUUAUGCCUUAUGGGUUUUAUGUGCUUUGUUUAUAUAAUUUAGUGUUAAUUAGUGCUAAUUAAUGUUAGUUUAGUCUAGAUUAGUUGGUUUAGUUAGUUUAUGCCUUGUGUUCUUUAUGUAUAUUAGUUAGUUUACAUCUUCUUAACAUUAUAUAGUGUAAUUUAACAUUCAUGUAGUUAUCUGCUCAGUUCAUAGUUUGUUUAGUAGUUUGAAUUUGGUUUUAAUAUGUAGUUUUGUUCAGUGGAGCUCUGAUUAGUCAGGUUUAUGUUGGUUCUAAGUUGAUAUUGUCAUAGGUUCGUUUAGAUUCCGGUUCAAAGUGUUAAUAAAAUGGAUAAGUUCAUACUUGGUCUAAUCAUGUGUGUAGUUCAUUAGUCUGUCCAAUUUUAAAAAAAUGUCAUAGGAUCCUAUCUCUAUAUCAUGUUAAACUGGUUUAGCUAAGUCACAUGUUUGAUUGAUAAAUGAUUUAUAGUUUAUAAAGUCUGAAGGGUUCACUGGUGUGCCAAAAUGUAUUACUAAUGAUGAGAUAGUCUUUCUUGAAACACAAGCUGAAAUGAAAAGGGGAUAUAAGCCUAUUACUUUGAUUUGAGCACUUGGAAAUGUCAUGCUGAUGCACUAAGGCCACCUGGACAUAUUUGGAUGGCAUAAAAGAUAUGAUUUUUUUUGUAAAGUUUUGCUGAAACCUUUUGAGAAGAACUUGAUUGAAACCUGUCCCUUCCCCCUUAGCCCCACUUUCAAAGAUUUUGGAUGUUAAAAGCCUACGUCUUGACUUUUUUUUUUUUUUUGUCUAGAUUUUUCCAACUCCUGUGUAUUGUCCAAAUCCGUCCAAAUAAACCUUUUCCCAUACAUGUAUGUGUGUUAUGCUCCCCUUUGACACUCCUCCCAUUUCUUUUUUUUUUCUUUUUUACUGGUCUCUUAGAACUGUACCAUCCCUAGCCCUAUUCCCUCAUUCUUUGCUGAAUUGUUAGGAUUAUGAGUAUUAUUAAGGCCUAGGAUGAUUCAUGGAUACCCUGUCUAACUGUUCUUGCACCUAUAAGCAUAAUCUUUAGGCUGGCACAAAUCUGAAAGCAUGUUCCUAAAUCUGGCUGCAUAUGUUUAUUUCUUGUUAGUCUGUAUUUUGUCUACAUGGUUUAAAUGUGCUAAGUCUUCAAUUGUUCAGGCUACUCAAUUUGGAUAAGAAAUGAACUUGUGCAAAUGAUCAUCUGAAAAGCUUAGGGAGUUUAUGAGUCUUGAUCCCUUUUCCCAAACACCACAUGUCUUGCCCUUGUUUUGCCUUUUCUGAACUCUUCCUUACUCUGUUGAGAAAAUCUGAAGUGAACCUGUUGUUGACUAUCAUGGCUCUUUACCCCCUUUUCUUUUACUUUGAGAUCAAGUCUUGUGCAGUCUUAAAUUGGAAUUCUCCACCAUGCACAAUCCACAUCCCCUUCCCCUUUUGAUUGAACUUGUGCAUGAACUGUGUUGGCAAUAUAAUGUUGUUAAGUUUGUUAAGAUGUCUUGAAGAAGAAUCAUGUGAAAAUCCCUUCCCACUCCCCAUGCCUACUGCUAAUACGUGUGCUAUACACUGAGGAUAUACAAGGUAUGCAAGACUUGUAUACAUCAUGGUGUAUACAAGGUGUAUGUUUUGUAUAUCAUGCGAUAUAAAUUCCUAAAGGCUGCUCUUGUAUGUUUUAAAUGGGGUUUGGGGCGAGUCCAUUCUUUAAUGUUAUUUUUCUGUGGAUUGCCAAUAAGGAUGGCAAUGGGGCCGUGCGGGUGCGGGGAGGGGCUGGUUUAGGCAUGUGCGAGUAUGCGCGGGUGCGGGUCGGGUCAAAAUUCUUAAAAAAUAAUUUUGUGCAGGGCGGGUGUAGGUGCGGGUUAGGGCUUUUAAAAUAUUUACAAAGUCAUAACUACCGACUACGACUUAUUUUUUCUUCCUCUCUAACAGAGUGACAACGACUAAUUUCUAAAACCCUAAACAUAUUCCAUCUCUGCUAAUUUCUCUCUCUAAAGGUAAAUGUAUAAACCAGUGUUUUAAAAGGCGUUUUCGGGGCGAGCCCUGAGGCGGGGCGUACCAAAAAUGCCCCGUGGCGAUGGGUCGAGGCGAAAGUCUCCAAAGGCAUACGCCCAGCAAUUCGGGGCGUACGCCCGGGCGUUUGGGGCGAGUUUUUUUUGUUGGGGCGUGUUGGGGUGUAAGCCCAGAAAACUUCUUCAAACUAAAACGAAAUUUGUUAAAUAAGUCCUUAAUAUAAUGCCCAAAUUCUCAAAAGUCAACAUGUAAUUACUCAAAUGUUUUAAAAAGGAACUGAAACAUUAAAUUUAAAAGUCAAGACUUUUUUUUAUUGCUAGAAUGUCUAAUAUAUAUUCUUUUCCAAUUAUUUAUCUUGUCUUCUACUAUCUCAAAAAAAUAACGAGCAGUCACUUGUACUUGUAAGUAGCAUAUAAUAGAUUGCUCUAAUUAGUUUUUUUGUGGGGGUGGAGCAUAUAUAUAUAUAUAUAUAUAUAUAUAUAUCACUUAUUUAAAGUUUUCUUCAAAUUUUUACGCUAUUUCACCUAUUUAAAAGUAUUUAUUAUAAUUAUAUCAUUUUAUAAAAUACUAAAAAUUAAAACCCCAUGGGGCUUACGCCCCGUGCCUCGGGGCUUACGCGUCACUGAGGCAGACGUAAAACGCUUCGCCUUACGCCCUCGCCUUUUAAAACACUGGUAUAAACCUCUCUGCCUCUCUCGUCUCUGCUGAUUUCUUGUUUUUGUUCUCUUUAUUUGAUUUGAAUAUUGAUAAAUUUUAGGUAUUUGUGACUUGGGUCUCUUUUAUUUCAUUUAAAUUCUUCAAAAAAUUAUCCUUGUCUACAACCAAAAACACUAUACAGUUCCCAUUGAGGCUCACUAAUUGAGAAAUUGAAUAUCCAUGUGUGUUACUCUUCCUGUGCCAAUUGAGGGUGAGAGCCAAAGGUCUUCUCAAAUUAUUGAAUUUACUUAAGCUGAAAAAAGAAAAUUGAAGUCUAAAUCAUGGAGACAUUUUAAACCACUUUGAUAGAUUUGUCGCUUCGAGUAAGGCUAAUGUGGACACAAGAUCGGAGCUAGAUUUUUGUUUAGAAGAAAGUUUGCUACCUCGAACUCCAUCGUUCGACAAUUUAAGUUGGUGGAAGACAAACAGAUUAAAAUUUCCUACUUUGCAGAAUAUGGCUUGUGACCUCUAAGCCAUUGGCUCCUGACCUCUUAGCCAUUCCUGUCUCUACCGUUGCUUCAGAAUCGGCAUUUAGCACUAGUGGGAGGUUGAUUAGUUCGCAUCGUAGUAGACUUCAUCCUACUACUUUAGAGGUUUUGAUGUGUGCUCGCACUUGGUUAUGGAAUGAAAUAAAUGGUUUGACUUCAACGAUCAACAAAGUUUCAUGCCCUACAUUACUUGACAAAGAGGAAGAGCCGGAUUCAAGUGGACUUACCGGUCUAUAGCUAUAGAGCAGCCUCAUCAGAACUUCUCCAUGGGGGAUUCAAGUGUUUUUAUUUUGUUUGAGUAGUUGCUUUUCGAACAAUAAUUUUAGAUACUGCUCUAAGUUGUUGAAUUCUGUUUUAUGUUGUUCAAAUAAUCAUUCUUUUGGCAUUGGACCAUAUCUCUAUGACCAAUAGUCCAUUUGAAUGGUCUUGCAGUCGUGUUUGCUCCAUUGUGAGUUUAAUUUGCAUCUAUAGAUAUAAUAAAAUUCAGACAGGGCUAUAGCAUCCAUCUCUAGAAGAAUUGAUGCUUUGCUUUUUAUCUUUA